AAAAAAAAGCCAAAAAAUGCCCCCACCAAUCACCGGGUGUGUUCUGGCUUCUGUACAUCAGGCAUCUUCCAUAAUUUCCACCGCAGCACUUGCACAAAUUUAUUAAAAUAUAGGUACGGGCACAAAUAUCAAAAUAUGGGGAGUUUCUGAAUAUCACAUGUAAAUGUAAACCCAUAGAACUCCAGGGAAUUAUUUGUACAAAAUGCUGCGUUUAUUUAGUAAUGGCGAAAUCGGCCACUGCAUCACAUGGGUGAAGGUGGCGUUGUAUUGCAUCAGUGUCACCCCUCAAGAGUUCGACUGCAGCGCUGCUUGUACGGAUGAAUUAUAUCAUUUCUAGCCCGAGUUUUGUAAGAUUGCGUCUGAUGGAUUACUAGAACUCGUCCAAUUGCAGAAAGGGAGGGUACAUCAGAUUUCAGAAUGUUGGAAGGUGUUUUGCACUUGUUUGCUUUUCUUUUUUAGUUUAAAAUUCUAUGACUCAUUGGUCAAAAGCGUUUAAUUGUAUUUGUAUGCCUGUGACAUAACUCUCAAUAUAGAGCUUCAGUCCAGUCAAUGUUUAAGCAUUAAAACACAGUUCACUAAUCAAUCUAGACUCAUUGGUCAAAAUGUCAUGAUUUCAAGUGCUUAAUUGGAUGCCUAUGACAUACCUCUUGAUAUAGAACUUAUGUAGAGCCUCAAAUCAAGUCAAAGUUUAAGCAUUAAACAACACACAGAUUGUUUUCAUUUUCGGGCUGCAGCCACAGCUAAACAACUUCGAUCUAAGAUGAUGCGAACCAGGGAGCAAAGGUCUCCUAAUAAUCAAUCCCUGUACUCUUGAGUGAAGUCUUGGAGCUUUAUAUCAUUCUACAAGGCCAUCUGAUCUUGUUUUAAUUUUGUAGACCCAUUUACAACAAACAAUAGAUUUCCCAUGUGGGAGUCAACCAAAUCCAAGUGUGAGUCUUACUUAAGUCUUGCAAUUCUUCUGUCAUUGCUUGCUGCCAAAUAGGAUUAGUACUGACUUCACGAUAUGUUUUGAGAUUCAUGAAAGGAUACUGUAGCAGAAAAACAGUGAUAAUCACAAACAUGAGAAGACAGUUGACUUGCUCGAGUAGAUUGACAUGGAAGUUGAAACUCAAUAGAGGAGUUAGAAUCUGCAUCCGAAUGAGAUACUUCUUGGGCAGUCACGGUAUGAUCUUCGGUAGAACAUGUAUCACAGCCGGAGAGAAAGGGGUCUAUAGGAGUAGGAUUUGGCAAUUCUUCACUACAUGAUGGUGGGAGUAAGUCUGUAAAUGGAUCAAGAAAGAAAGUUACAAUUGACAAGACACACAAUCAACUUUAAUGUCUGGGAUGGAUCUUAACAUACCUCUAGAAAUUAAUGGACAAAAUUUAGAUAACGGCACAUGUCCAAAACGAGAAUGUUAAGUUUCAGAUGACACUGAAAUAGCAAAAUGACUCAAUAUCGAUAAGAAAGACGUAAAGAAGCAAGUUUGAACAGAUGACCAACUUUAUAGUCGGUCCCAUGUAUCUGCCCUGUCUGCGAUUCCUGCACAUGACGAGAAAAGUGUAAGCUUGGGAUCCAGAAAUGUCUGAGGUAGAGAUAGGUUAGCGGUCGAGAUCUCUCUUAUAUGACUAACAUGAAUUUUAGAGUUAUUCGUAGUAUGAAUAGUAGGUGUGUGAGAGAUAAGUGUGUGCGGUUGGAACUUAGAAGAAUCAAAUGUGGUUACAACAAGUCAACAACCAUAAUCAAAGAACCAAGAUUUAGAUUUACCUGGAAUGACAGAGAGGGUAGGAUAGGAAGUACCGGACUUAUCUAGGGUUUUCUUGAUAGUGUUAAGGUAAACUUUGUUGAAAAGAGCUUUAAGCAUACGGAGCUCAGUACUAGUUUAUGAUGAAUCCUACUGACAUCAGUAAUGACAACUGCAGUCCUUAAACGAUUGGUUCUUAGGAUUUGAAAUUCUAACUAGCCAUGUGCCUUAACCUCUUUCGACAUUCAUCAAUAUGGUUACGUGGUAUAUAAUAGUGACAAGUGCCCUUGUGCUUUGUAGAUGUAGUAGCAUAACAGUGUUAGUAGAAUCUGAAUUCUGAAUUUCUGAUGAGAUCUCAUUGUGCUAAGGUAAGAGUUUUAAUUCAGCAACCAUGCGUCUCAAGUUUAGGAAAUGGAUCUCAAUGAGCAAAGAGGCUCGAACAGAGCUAGGGUCAUGAGAAAGUGAAUAACUCUCAACUUAUCUUUGUCGGUGGUAAAUUUAGUCGUGUCAGAUGUUUGAUCCCACAUUGGUUCAGAGUAUGCUAGCUGGUUCCAAAUAACAUGCAUCCGAGAGAGGAAAUCAUUUAUAGGUGUCCUGGUUCUUGCUUCAAGCUAUGUAGAUAGCCAUAGAGUUAAUACUGAUGUGAAAUAGAGUAUUGUUGAGCUUGUAAAUCCACACUUCUUUAGCAGUAUCAAAUCGUCCAACUGAAGUUUGAUAAAAGAAAUAUUAGUAUUUCAGAACCAAGUGAGAAUUUGAUGGUUCUUGAUAUCCCAUUCAUCCGGUCGAUCAUAAAACUGGUCCUCCAUUUCAUUCUUACACUUAAGCGGUGAAGUAAUUGUUUCAGUAAUAUAUCACCUUAAUUUGCGCCCUUUAAGAAAGCUAAACAUCUCUUGAGACCAUAUAAUGUAGUUGGUCCCAUCCAAAAAGUGUCAAUGGAGAGAGAGAGAGAGAUCUUAUUUAUCCAUGCAGGUGAAGAAAAUAGACGAUGAAAUGCAAAAACAUGUAAGAUCAGGUGCUACACGUUACAAAACUGUACUAUGCAAUCAGAACUAGGGAAAUCAAGGUUGGAAACAGAUUCAGAACCUUUGAAUACCUUAGGAACCGCUAUGAACUGUCAAAGAAUUGGAUUGUACGAAGUCAAACAGGUCGGUUAGAGUUUGCACACGUGGUGCUAACAUGGCAGACAGAAUAUAAACAGGUGCGUGAGGCAGUGAUAUUAGGUGCAGUUCAGACGAGAGGCGCAUGAGGGCACUUUAAGCUUCGUGUCGGAGGAUUUUGGUGGCAUUAGACUCGUGCUUUGACGUAGAGUUGAUAUAUGGCAGGAACUCAAAAAAUAGACAACAAAAGUAUAGUGGGGGAUUUAUGGUUCAGACAAGUAUUGGUGAUGUAACUAGGAGCCAAUAGUAACCAUAAAAUUUUUCCCUGCAACAACUGUGGCUCUUUUACCAUGUUUUAGGACAAAGAAAAAGAGAUAAAACUAUACCAGUGUUGAGUAUUCACUACAAUGAAAAGUGUCCUAUAUAUAGGAGAAUUACAACUAUGUAUGUGUAAAGUUACAGCUGAGGAACGAUGCUACCAUAUUUACAUAAUUCUUAACAGUUUUAACAAUGGAAGAGUGUAUUUGAUUUAUUUUAACAUGUAUGUGUGAACGCUUACGGUGUUAAUUGUGUGUUUUGAGUUUAUGGUUGUUUUAGGUGGGAGGGGGGUGGGGUGGUUCCUGGGAAGAAGUUUACGUUGUUAAUCACACUCUGAGAAAUGCAGCAAUAAAUUUAAAGUCAAAUAUUAUUUAACUGUGAAGAAAUCUUGUGCUAGAGCCCUUCAACCUCAACUAAUAUUAGAUUCAAAAAGUUAUGCACGCACGCACAACUCAUUAGGUUACAAUGCUCUAAAUGUGGCAGACCCUUCAUUCAUUAUCUCAGUGAUUUUUUCUUCCCUAACCAAAUGAGAGAAUUCAGCUUCUGAAGUUGAAUAUAAACUUUCUUCCUUGAUGUAAAAUAAUAAUUUCCUCUCAGCUCCAGCUGAAGCCAUUUAAAUCGAAUUGCUUGCAACUUGAAGCAGGAUCAUUUUUGUCAUCCAUGUUUAGAUCCAGUUCUGUUGUAAAGUAAGGUAGUUUUGUCUUCUGCUUCUCUGGUCUAUGAGCAUCUCGGCCUAAAUAUUUAGCAUCUGCAUCAGCUUCUCUAUGUCUUUCCCCUGAACAGCUACUACUGCCAUUCCAUAGUCCUCUCUGAGGUCCAAUGGCCAUCGACAAAUUUCUGGAGUUCUCUUCUGUAGCAAAUGCUUUUUCUACAUUGUCAUUUGUUGCACAAAGAAAUCUGCUGCUCACUUUCAGGUCUUCGCACAGUUUGAGUUCAGUCUUCUGCACCCUGAGUUCAUUGUCAAUAAUCCUCGACUCUAUAGGUUCUCGAAAAUUCAAAGUUUUCAAUCCUAUUUGGUUAUUGUACAAUUCUUGGUCCCUGAGAGAACCUUCACAGGAGGUUAAGCAGCUGUCUGUUGAACAAUCCGUUGGCUGAGUUGUUUUUAUUUGCUGUAGGGACAAAUCCGACACUUCUUUCAUCCCUGAAAAUUCAGAAUUCAGGCAUUGGGUAGAUACUUUAGACACCAAAUCUGAUAUCUGAACCUUGGCUGCCUCCAAAUCAAUUGUCCCCAAGUUCUGUGUUCCUAGGGUUUCCUCUGCUUUCUCCAAUACGGACUGUAGAUAUUUACCUUGGGCCUCAAUCCGUAGCUGUAAAUGGCGCUGUACCUACACAUACAGAGUAAACUCUGUUUUCAGUGCAACAUAAAAUUCAACAUUUAAUUGUUUGAAAUAUGAAUUUUGGACUACUAUUGUUUAUUAGGAAAGUUUCACUUCAAUAAGAGAUUAAAAUUGUCAUCGCGAUCCUACAUGUGUGAAAUAUUUGCCUAGAAUUUGGUUAAAUGCAUGUUUUCAUGGUAUAUCUUCCAAAGAUCUGAUGACAACUUUUCUGGUUUCAGAUUUCAGAGGGUUUUGAAGAGGCCACACUUUAUUUUGAUUCAUUAGUAAAAAUAUGUAUUCUCUUAUGUUGGAAUCAAAGAAAUUGCAAUUGCUUUACGAAUGGAACUUUUUUUACCUCAAGCUGCUCAUGUAGCCUUCUUUGCACUUCAAUUUGCAUUUGUAAUGCUUCGCUCAAGGGUAAAUUUCUGAAUUUAAAAUAUUACAGUAUAGCAGUGUUAAUUGAUUAUAUUAUCAAAUCAAUAGCGUGAAUCGACAUAGUAAGAACAUGUAACAUAUUUUUGCAUUCUUACUUAUUUGUCUGGGCUACCAUGCUUGGAUUACUCAUGUGGGUUCUAUAUGUCCCGGACAUUCUUUCUCCCGUGACUGUAACCAUUAUCAAACUUAACAUACUUAUUUACUGAAGAACAGGUGUAGUCUGCAAAACUAUUUUCCUGGAAAUUAUUGGAUUUCUUACCUGCUUUAUUGCUCCCACUGUUAGCUUGUCCAUGGAGGUUCUUGCUGAGCCUGUAUUUCUGCCAUGCAAAUAAAAAGGUUUAGACUACUCUCUGUAUUUUUACCCAUGACGCACAUAUACAUAUGCAACCCACAUAUGCACAAUGCAACACUCUUGGUUUCCUAAAAUGAAAUGACAAUAAAUUAAGGCUUAUUCCAAUAAAUUUGAGGUGGCCACAUAAAUCCUUUAUCUGAAGUUCAUUUGAUUCAUUGCUAUACUCUAAUGCUCGGACUCUUCGAAAUAGUCAGAGUAUCCGUGUCAAACACGGGUAUGGGUAUAAAAUAUGUGUCAGAUACUUCAAAUUUCACACUUUGCCGUUUUUGCUUCUUCUCUCUUCUUUUUUUUCAUUUUCCUUUUCUUUCCCCUUUUUGCUCUCUAUAAACCUAAUGCUACCUCCGAGAGGAUGGAGAAAGCGACGGCACUAGGUUUUCUCUCCUUCUUCUUUCUUUUCUCUUUCCUUUUUCUUAUUUUUUCCCCUUCCUCCCCUUUCUAUAUUGGUGGAUUAGUGUUUUGUUUGUAUAAAAUGAAAAUGGAUUCCAUAUAAUGCUACUUAUUGUUUCAUUAAGUCUAAAUUGCAAUUAAGUCUCUCAUUUUUCUAUUUUAUAUAACAUUUAGUAAUUAACUUCUCAUAAUUGAAAACUAAAUCCAAAAUUCUAUUUUAUUCAUCUUGACCCCUUUUGAGUACUCAUUUCCUUCUUUGUGAAUAAUUAUUUUUGAUCUAUUCAAAAUAACAUCUUAAGUUAGUAAAAAAAUUAAAAAUUGAAAGAUGUACGCACGUACUCGUGUCCGAAAUUUGGACACUUUUUAGCCAUGUCCCCGCAUCCUACAUUUUAAAAAAUAAAAGAUCCAACACUUAGAUACGUACUCGUACCCGAUACCCAUACCCGAGUCCGAGCAUCAUAGUUGCUAUGUGUGGAGCAACUAGAUUUGGAGCAACUCCAACAUGUAAUGUUAGUUUUGGUCCACUCCUAACUUUUUUCAACGGAGAUCAAGUCACUCUUAUUAACGAAGUCAAUAUAUGUCCUAAUCAUCUAAUCGUCCUUCCCUUGUUUUAUCCUAAACGGAUGCUACCUUUACUUAUAGGCGCAUAUUUUCAUUUUUUAAUCUUAUCCAGUCUAGUAUUGCCUCACAUUAUCUUAGCAUUUUCAUUUCUGCUGCACUCAUCUCAUGGACAUCUUGUUUGUUAGCACUCGAUACGUAGUACUAAACCAGAUGUGAUAGUUUCACAUGGGUUGUUAAUCUACAACCACCUUUUUCCUUUAUGUAGGCUUGGGACCUUCAUGAAAACACUUGAAAAUGCUAAUAUAAUAUGAUCUAGAAAAUUCUAUGUAAGCUAUGAAUAAAAGUUUUCCAUAGUUUAUUACUGCAUUUUUUAGAUGAUAUUGUUUCAGCAUUAUUAAUGGUUUUCCUGAGUCAAAAGUAGGGAUAAUGAUGUUUUCAAAGAACUUGACUGCUUCUUUGAAAUGGUUAUAUAAAAACCUUAAGUUGCCCUAGAGUUGCUUAAGCUUAAAUAUGGUCAAACUGAAAGGCCUAUUUUCUCUUGUGCAGAACUCUAGUAUAGCUUUUUGGC
rnacentral:lncRNA from 1 species